GCCCUAACCUGCAAGUCGACGCAGUAGCAAUACUGAGUGGCAAACGGGUGAGUAUAAUGUGGCAAUCUGCCUUUUGGUUUGGAAUAACACGGGGAAACUUGUGCUAAUACCGGAUAAGCCCUUACGGGGAAAGUUUUAACGCCGAAAGAUGAGCCUGCACUUGAUUAGCUAGUUGGUAAGGUAAAGGCUUACCAAGGCAACGAUCAAUAGCUGUUCUUAGAGGAAGACCAGCCACAUUGGGACUGAGACACGGCCCAGACUCCUACGGGAGGCAGCAGUGGGGAAUCUUGCACAAUGGGGGAAACCCUGAUGCAGCGAUGCCGCGUGAGCGAAGAAGGCCCUUGGGUUGUAAAACUCUUUCGUCGGGGAAGAAAAUGACUGUACCCGAAUAAGAAGGUCCGGCUAACUUCGUGCCAGCAGCCGCGGUAAUACGAAGGGACCUAGCGUAGUUCGGAAUUACUGGGCUUAAAGAGCUCGUAGGUGGUUAAAAAAGUUGAUGGUGAAAUCCCAAGGCUCAACCUUGGAACUGCCAUCAAAACUUUUUAGCUAGAGUGUGAUAGAGGUAAGUGGAAUUUCUAGUGUAGAGGUGAAAUUCGUAGAUAUUAGAAAGAACACCAAAUGCGAAGGCAACUUACUGGGUCACUACUGACACUGAGGAGCGAAAGCAUGGGUAGCGAAGAGGAUUAGAUACCCUCGUAGUCCAUGCCGUAAACGAUGUGUGCUAGACGUUGGAAAUAUAUUUUUCAGUGUCGCAGCGAAAGCAUUAAGCACACCGCCUGGGGAGUACGACCGCAAGGUUAAAACUCAAAUGAAUUGACGGGGACCCGCACAAGCAGUGGAGCAUG
rnacentral:rRNA from 1 species